AUCACCACAAAAUGCUCGUGAACUCUUUAACUUGAGACAUUCAAAGCUUUGAAAUGUCGUGGAGAGGACAUUUGCUGUUUUGAAAAAAAGAUUCCCUAUAUUAACGACUCCUCCUCCAUAUUCCAUCAAAAAACAAGGUUGGAUUGUGCUAUCAUGUUGUAUACUUCAUAAUUUCAUUCGUAAGUGGAACUGGGACGAUUCAUAUUUUGAAGAACACGUGGAAGAGGAAAUAGAAGAUUCCCACAAUUUGGAUGAUAUUGAUUCAGAUUCAGAUGAAGAAGAACUUGGACGAGGACCGACAGAUGUUGACAAACAAUCUAUGUGCAAUCUAAGAGAUGGGAUAGCUCAACAAAUAUGGAAUGCUAGAGCAAUAAGGUAGAAUAGCAUAUGUUGAAAGGGACAGAGUAGGUCAUUGUCACUUGAAGCAAGGGUAUAGCCACCGGUCUAUUUUGUAAAAUAGGUAGAUGUAAGAGGUAGAGUAAUUAAAGGCUGCAAGGUUUAUCAGUGUAAAA